GCGGGAAUAGUCCAGUGGUUAAGAUUCUCGUUUUGGGUUUACUGAAUACGAGAGAUCCCAGGUUCGAAUCCUGGUUUCCGCC